ensembl:lncRNA LINC01546 long intergenic non-protein coding RNA 1546
AGAGACUUUCGUUCCACGGUGGCUUUCCACCGUCCAGUGGUACCUCUGUAGCUGCCCUGACUCACUGUGCCAUCAAAAAUCUCCUUCAAUCAAACCAGCCUCUGAAUGCACUCGACAAGGUCCUGCAUGUUGAAGCCUGCAAUCUGCAAAUCUGCACCAUCUUUCUAAAGCUGCCUGCUGCUUACAUUUUGAGAGGAGGAUGAGGUUAAUUAUCGGAGGUGGAAAAUAAAUAUCACAGAGCAGCUGGACAUGGGGGAGCUUGCAGCGUCAGCAAAUCAUGGACACUCACCCUGCUACCCAGAGAGAAAAGGGACCCCUGGAGACUUGAGCAAAAGAAAAAUGCUGGUACAUUUUUACCCCAGGAGGCACAGCCACCCCAGAGCCACACAGCAAUGGAUACUUAAGAAUAAGGCUGUACAGGAGGCAUGGCUGGGGAGGCCUCAGGAAACAUACAAUCAUGACAGAAGAUGAAGGGGAAGCAAGCAUAUCUUACCAUGGUGAUGGAGGAGAGAAAGAAGGAGUGAGUGGGGAGAUGCCACACACUUUUAAACCAUCAGAUCUCAUGAGAACUCCCUGACUAUCACAAGAGGAGCAAGAAGGAAGUCCACUCCCACGAUUUAAUCACCUCUCACCAGGCCCCUCCUCCAACACUGGGGAUUACAAUUUGACAUGAUAUUUGGGUGGAGACACAGAGCCAAACCAUAUCAGUGACUGUAGUUAAUAAUAUAUCGUAUAUUUUUAAAUUGCUCUAAAAAUUGAAUUUCAAAUGUUCUCACCAUAAAGACAUGACAAAUAUGUGAAGUGAUGAUUAUUUUAAUUAGCCUGAUUUGUUAAUGCCACAAUGUAUAAAUGUAUAAAAAUCACGUUUUAACCCAUAAAUACAUGUAAUUGUUAUUUGUCAAUUAAAAAUAAAAAUAAAUUGAAAACUAAAAAUAGUAAAGGGAGUUCCCUCCAUGAAGGAUCAAUGAGUACAUGCCAUAGAUUUAAUUUUGACAGCAAGAAACAAGAAGGUUGCAACAGUCCAAACAUUGUGUGAUAAAUGGUUGCUCUUAAAAAUAUUUUUAUAGUUUGCCUCAAUAAGCUAAGACAUAAGUUAUAAUCUAUUAGGUAGGAGUAUAUUCAUUCAGUGGCUUACUGUUAUACUCAUAAACAGCUUCAUCCUACUUACCCAAGGUUAGUUUUCAUGAAGACUGAUCAUCUGAAUAAAUUUGGUUGCAAAUACUAAUUAUUGAAAUUAAUGGAUACCUACUGUGGAUGUCUAUUGUUCUAAGUAUUCAACACAUAUUCAAGUGGGUUUCAUCAAUGACUAAAGCAAGGCUCUAUUAACCUAUUUACAACCAAGAUGGCAGCCCAGUGUGAGACUCAUGAUGGUGGCCCACUGUGAGACUUCUCUCCCCAGCCUCUGGUAACCAUCAUUCUACACUGUAUCUCCGUGAGAUCCACUUUUUUGAGUUCCCACACAGGAGUGAGAAUAUGCACUGUCUUCCAGUGGCUGGCUUACUUCACUUAACAUCAUGACCUCCAGUUUCAUCUAUGUUUGAACAGUUUUAAUCAACAUGAAAUUCACAAGAAAGCAAAAGAGUGGAAACAGGACUGCAGUCAAUUGCCUUGAUCAGAACCUGAUCAAGAACUAGUCACCACUUUGGAAAACACCAUCUAUGGAAAUCCUCCUGCUGCUAUUUGAGUUGCCAACACAACACACCAGUGUUGGCAGUUCUGGUAUCUAUCUCAAUGAUUACAUCUAGAGCAAACCUGUGGGUCUUUUGUUCCAUCCCUACCUUAUCAUUUACCUAUUAAAAUGCCAUGGUGUUUUAAAAUAAGAGUUGCUUUCCUGUUACAUUUCUGUUUUACAUUGCAGUUACAGCCUCAAAUACAUGUUGGAAAAUUA